GAUAUUUCGCAAAGCAAAAAGUUCUUUUGUAUGCGACGCUCGAAACGCGUGUCCUUCGCGACGAUACAUUGUUGUUACGCAAAGUCACGGCGGUUAUUCAGCGGGCAGGGGCGACGUGAAUUAUUUACCAUCACUCGAUCGCAUACUUGUAUCAAUCAGAUUGACGACGAGAACCACAUGAGAGAAAACAGAAGGGAUAUGUACGCACUACAAGCUUUCGAGCCGCUUGAGCUGGCUGCCUGGGCCCGAGCGGCUGCGCGCGCAUUCUCCCCACCACUCGCUUACGGCGUGAGCGUCGCCACUAGUCAGAGAUGGCUGGCUCGCCGCCCUCACCGGCCGUACGGUAGCUGUGGGUAGGUGAGUGUAUGUGGAGGGGAUGGAUGCUCCGUCUACAAAUCGACAACUGAAAACUUUGGAGCAUAUUUUCGACUAUCGGGAGUGAUCGAAUCAGGUGACGAUUAAUUUAUCCGUUGGUCUCUUGCGUUAGCCGCGAUGUACAUACGACGCAAUCGGUCGGGUCGCGAAACUGCGUAGCGAAGCUUCUGGAACCGGCGCGGCGUACGGCAUGAAGUUGCCCCUUCAUUUCGUAGGUGUUUCGUAGGCGACGUGCAGUGCAACGUAACCGAAAGUCGCGAGUGUAUCGGACGAAGAAAAGUGUAGCCGUGCCCUUGCGUGUUCUCCCGUAUUUACCCUUGGCACAGUAAGUUUCGGUGAUCGCGUCGCGUUGAUUAAUCCGCGGGAUGCGUAACGAUUGGCGUUGGGCCGAUUUGCGUUUGAUUUUCGAUGUGAGAGAGAGAGAGAGAGACGAGCGAGCGCCGGGAAAGAGACGGCGUUCGCUCUUCACACGGCGCCGGAGCAAUCGACGACGGUGGACGUGCAUCGUCGGAUGUGUAAAUAUUUACGGACUGAUUCGAAGACGAGUUCGAAAGUAUUGUGCGAGUGUUUAGAGAAAGACUAGUAUAUCCGUUGGUCUCUCGUGAUGUGCAAUGUAAUCGGUCGAGUCGCGAAACGGCGCAUCGAAGCUUCUCGACCGGCGUGAACUUGCCGCUUCAUUUCGUACGCGUCGCGCGAUGUAACCGAAAAUCGCAAGUAUGUCGGAAGGGAAGUAUGGCCGUGUCCUUGCGUGUCUUUCCGUAUUUACUUCCGGCACAAUAAGUUUCGGGGAUCGGUGAUCGCGUCGCCUUGAUUAAUCCGCGGGAUGCGUGGCGAUUGGCGUUUCUCGGGUCGAUUUGCGUGAUUUGAGACGAGAGUGUGACGAGCGAGCGUUGGGAAGACGCGACGUCGGGGCAGUCGAAAAUCACGAUACAUCGUCAGGUGUGUAAAUUAUUUUCGGAGUUCGGAAGUGUUGUGUGAGUGUUCAACGAAGGACCCCAGUGUAUCUGAGAGGAAGAGGAGGCCUGGGAGGCAUCAGGCGACGACGGAACAACCAUGGGAUCAACAUAGUCUUCGAUGCUGUUUGAUUUCCGCUGCUGCGCAUCGUAUCGAUAUUUCUCGAGAGAUCCAACGACGAAAAGCCAACAUCCGUCGCCGAUCUAUAAUAAAAUAAACGAACCGCAGCCGGUUCGUCGCGUCGCGCGUUUAUUUCGGGAGUGCCGUUUAAGUUAUUGGACUAAUAGACUUUUCAAUAACUCCAAUUUGAUAGAAUCCUAAUUCGAGGGCCGGGAAUCGCACCCCCGCUGCUUGGUAGUGGAUAUCUCCUCACUACUCGCCGACCGGGGUGCUGAAUCCACGGACUCCCUCCGAAUGGGAAGUCAUAUCAUGGAUUUUAUAAACCCGAGUACCGCAGUGUUGCGCGAAAGACUUUUAUAAAUAAUUGGUCCACGCGCGUAAAUUUAAGAUAUUCGCGAGUGUUCCGCGUGUGCAACAAGAGAAAGAGGAGCUUGACAACCUAGAGGGUUCUGAGAGGAGGAGGAGGCCUAGGAGGCAUCAUGCGACGGCGGAGCACCCUCAAGGUGGACGGUACCAUCGACGAAUAUCGAGGUGCUCUAUCAUGGUACGAGAGAGUUGCGGAACAGCUGGAUCCUCGCGAGGCUUCUUUGAUACGCGGCAACGUCAAUUGACAAAAAACGACAGCACCACCAUCGCUACCCUUGACAACGAUCGUUAACUCUUGUUCUGCGAUGACCUCGAGCCAUUUGCGCUUUAGCCGUCGUCCGUGCACGCCGACUGAGUCAACGUGGCGUUACAACUCCGUCGCUGCGCGUCGUGAUGUCGGU
rnacentral:lncRNA from 13 species